rnacentral:rRNA from 1 species
UGCUAUACUGCAGUCGUACGCUUCUUUUUCCACCGGAGCUUGCUCCACCGGAAAAAGAAGAGUGGCGAACGGGUGAGUAACACGUGGGUAACCUGCCCAUCAGAAGGGGAUAACACUUGGAAACAGGUGCUAAUACCGUAUAACAAUCGAAACCGCAUGGUUUUGAUUUGAAAGGCGCUUUCGGGUGUCGCUGAUGGAUGGACCCGCGGUGCAUUAGCUAGUUGGUGAGGUAACGGCUCACCAAGGCCACGAUGCAUAGCCGACCUGAGAGGGUGAUCGGCCACAUUGGGACUGAGACACGGCCCAAACUCCUACGGGAGGCAGCAGUAGGGAAUCUUCGGCAAUGGACGAAAGUCUGACCGAGCAACGCCGCGUGAGUGAAGAAGGUUUUCGGAUCGUAAAACUCUGUUGUUAGAGAAGAACAAGGAUGAGAGUAACUGUUCAUCCCUUGACGGUAUCUAACCAGAAAGCCACGGCUAACUACGUGCCAGCAGCCGCGGUAAUACGUAGGUGGCAAGCGUUGUCCGGAUUUAUUGGGCGUAAAGCGAGCGCAGGCGGUUUCUUAAGUCUGAUGUGAAAGCCCCCGGCUCAACCGGGGAGGGUCAUUGGAAACUGGGAGACUUGAGUGCAGAAGAGGAGAGUGGAAUUCCAUGUGUAGCGGUGAAAUGCGUAGAUAUAUGGAGGAACACCAGUGGCGAAGGCGGCUCUCUGGUCUGUAACUGACGCUGAGGCUCGAAAGCGUGGGGAGCAAACAGGAUUAGAUACCCUGGUAGUCCACGCCGUAAACGAUGAGUGCUAAGUGUUGGAGGGUUUCCGCCCUUCAGUGCUGCAGCUAACGCAUUAAGCACUCCGCCUGGGGAGUACGACCGCAAGGUUGAAACUCAAAGGAAUUGACGGGGCCCGCACAAGCGGUGGAGCAUGUGGUUUAAUUCGAAGCAACGCG